rnacentral:rRNA from 1 species
UACGGGAGGCAGCAGUGAGGAAUAUUGGUCAAUGGGCGUAAGCCUGAACCAGCCAAGUCGCGUGAGGGAUGAAGGUUCUAUGGAUCGUAAACCUCUUUUAUAAGGGAAUAAAGUGUGGGACGUGUCCUAUUUUGUAUGUACCUUAUGAAUAAGGAUCGGCUAACUCCGUGCCAGCAGCCGCGGUAAUACGGAGGAUCCGAGCGUUAUCCGGAUUUAUUGGGUUUAAAGGGUGCGUAGGCGGCCUUUUAAGUCAGCGGUGAAGGUCUGUGGCUCAACCAUAGAAUUGCCGUUGAAACUGGGGGGCUUGAGUAUGUUUGAGGCAGGCGGAAUGCGUGGUGUAGCGGUGAAAUGCUUAGAUAUCACGCAGAACCCCGAUUGCGAAGGCAGCCUGCCAAGCCAUGACUGACGCUGAUGCACGAAAGCGUGGGGAUCAAACAGGAUUAGAUACCCUGGUAGUCCACGCAGUAAAAGAUGAUCACUAGCUGUUUGCGAUACAGUGUAA